GCCCGGGUGGCUCAGUUGGUUGAGCGUCUGACUCCGGCUCAGGUCAUGAUCUUGCAGUUCGUGAGUUCAAAUCCCACGUCGGGCU